rnacentral:rRNA from 1 species
GACGAACGCUGGCGGCGUGCCUAAUACAUGCAAGUCGAACGCAGUGGGGACGGGUGAGUAACACGUGGGUAACCUCCCAUCAGAGGGGAUAACACUUGGAAACAGGUGCUAAACCGAUACUGAUGGAUGGACCCGCGGUGCAUUAGCUAGUUGGUGAGGUAACGGCUCACCAAGGCCACGAUGCAUAGCCGGCCUGAGAGGGUGACCAGCCACACUGGAACUGAGACACGGCCCAGACUCCUACGGGAGGCAGCAGUGGGGAAUAUUGGGCAAUGGACGAAAGCCUGACCGAGCAACGCCGCGUGUGUGAAGAAGGUUUUCGGAUCGUAAAACACUGUUGUUAGAGAAGCGGUAUCUAACCAGAAAGCCCCGGCUGACUCCGUGCCAGCAGCCGCGGUAAUAC